rnacentral:rRNA from 1 species
GACGAACGCUGGCGGCGUGCUUAACACAUGCAAGUCGAACGGGCUGCCUGGUUUUCGGAUCGGGUGGUGAGUGGCGAACGGGUGAGUAACACGUGAGUAACCUGCCCCUCUCUUUGGGAUAACGUCGGGAAAUCGGCGCUAAUACCGGGUAUUCUGGCUUCCUCGCAUGGGGUUGUUGGGAAAGGUUUUUUCUGGUGGGGGAUGGGCUCGCGGCCUAUCAGCUUGUUGGUGGGGUGAUGGCCUACCAAGGCGGUGACGGGUAGCCGGCCUGAGAGGGUGUGCGGCCAGACUGAGACUGAGACACGGCCCAGACUCCUACGGGAGGCAGCAGUGGGGAAUAUUGCACAAUGGGCGGAAGCCUGAUGCAGCGACGCCGCGUGGGGGAUGACGGCCUUCGGGUUGUAAACCUCUUUCAGUGCAGAACAAGGCUCUUUGUGGGUUGAGGGUAUGCGCAGAAGAAGCGCCGGCUAACUACGUG